rnacentral:misc_RNA from 1 species
CCUCCUUUCUAAGGAGCACCAUUUACAUGCCCUGAUCCAGGGUUUCCCCCAUCCCCGUACAAAUUGCGGGAUGAAGGUGGUUGGGAUUGUCGCCGGCGCCUGUAGUGGGCUGCUUCGGCGGGUGCAUAUGACAACAAACGCUGAUCAGCUGGGAUGACACGUUGAUCGAAUGAAUUGCCAGACACACUGUUGGGUCCUGAGACAACAGGCCCGUUCGCUCCCCUCCUCGUGUGGGGGUGGGAGACGCCCCGGUUGCGGGGUGGGGGUUGUUGUUGCCUCACCGGUUUUGGUGGUGGGGUGUGGUGUUUGAUUCGUGGAUAGUGGUUGC